GACGAACGCUGGCGGCGUGCUUAACACAUGCAAGUCGAACGGAAAGGCCCUGCUUUUGUGGGGUGCUCGAGUGGCGAACGGGUGAGUAACACGUGAGUAACCUGCCCUUGACUUUGGGAUAACUUCAGGAAACUGGGGCUAAUACCGGAUAGGAGCUCCUGCUGCAUGGUGGGGGUUGGAAAGUUUCGGUGGUUGGGGAUGGACUCGCGGCUUAUCAGCUUGUUGGUGGGGUAGUGGCUUACCAAGGCUUUGACGGGUAGCCGGCCUGAGAGGGUGACCGGCCAAAUUGGGACUGAGAUACGGCCCAGACUCCUACGGGAGGCAGCAGUGGGGAAUAUUGCACAAUGGGCGGAAGCCUGAUGCAGCAACGCCGCGUGCGGGAUGACGGCCUUCGGGUUGUAAACCGCUUUCGCCUGUGACGAAGCGUGAGUGACGGUAAUGGGUAAAGAAGCACCGGCUAACUACGUG
rnacentral:rRNA from 1 species